rnacentral:rRNA from 1 species
AUUGAACGCUGGCGGCAGGCCUAACACAUGCAAGUCGAGCGAGCGGCGGACGGGUGAGUAAUGUAUGGGGACUGCCCGAUAGAGGGGGAUAACUACUGGAAACGGUGGCUAAUACCGCAUACUAUCGGAUAACCCAUAUGGGAUUAGCUAUUAGGUGGGGUAAAGGCUCACCUAGGCGACGAUCUCUUGCUGGUCUGAGAGGAUGAUGAGACACACUGGAACUAGGACACGGCCCAGACUCCUACGGAGGCAGCAGUGGAGAAUAUUACACAAUGGGCGCAAGCCUGAAACAGCCAUGCCGCGUGUAUGAAGAAGGCCUUAGGGUUGUAAAGUACUUUCAGCUGGGAGGCGUUACCCGCAGAAGAAGCACCGGCUAACUCCGUGCCAGCAGACGCGGUAAUUC